rnacentral:tRNA from 1 species
GUGGCUGUGGCUCAGCAGUACAGCGCUCGUCUAGCAUGUGUGAGGCCCUGGGUUCGAUCCUCAGUACCACA